rnacentral:rRNA from 1 species
GACGAACGCUGGCGGCGUGCUUAACACAUGCAAGUCGAACGGUGAAGCGCCUUCCUUUUUGGUGGGUGUGGAUGAGUGGCGAACGGGUGAGUAACACGUGAGUAACCUGCCCCCUUCUUCUGGAUAACCGCAUGAAAGUGUGGCUAAUACGGGAUAUUCUGGGUCUGUCGCAUGAUGGGUCUGGGAAAGAUAUUGUUUCGGUGGGGGAUGGGCUCGCGGCCUAUCAGCUUGUUGGUGGGGUGAUGGCCUACCAAGGCGGUGACGGGUAGCCGGCCUGAGAGGGUGGACGGUCACACUGGGACUGAGACACGGCCCAGACUCCUACGGGAGGCAGCAGUGGGGAAUAUGGCACAAUGGGCGCAAGCCUGAUGCAGCGACGCCGCGGGAGGGAUGGAGGCCUUCGGGUUGUGAACCUCUUUCGCCAGUGAAGCAGGCCUGCCUCGUUUGUGGGUGGGUUGACGGUAGCUGGAUAAGAAGCGCCGGCUAACUACGUG